AACGCUGGCGGCGCGCUUAACACAUGCAAGUCGAACGAGAAAGGGGAGCAAUCCCUGGAGUACAGUGGCGUACGGGUGAGUAACACGUGGGUAAUCUACCUCUUUGUGGGGGAUAUCUCUGGGAAACCGGAGUUAAUACCGCAUAAGCUCGAGAGAGGAAAGGGAGCAAUCCCGCUGAGAGAGGAGCCCGCGGCCGAUUAGCUAGUUGGUAGGGUAAUGGCCUACCAAGGCACAGAUCGGUAGCCGGCCUGAGAGGGCACACGGCCACACUGGCACUGAAACACGGGCCAGACUCCUACGGGAGGCAGCAGUGGGGAAUCUUGCACAAUGGGGGAAACCCUGAUGCAGCGACGCCGCGUGAGCGAUGAAGCCCUUCGGGGUGUAAAGCUCUUUCGACAGGAACGAUAAUGACGGUACCUGGAGAAGAAGCUGCGGCUAACUACGUGCCAGCAGCCGCGGUAAUACGUAGGCAGCAAGCGUUGUUCGGAGUUACUGGGCGUUAAGGGUGCGUAGGCGGUUUCGCAAGUUUGGUGUGAAAUCUCCCGGCUUAACUGGGAGGGUGCGCCGAAAACUG
rnacentral:rRNA from 1 species